rnacentral:lncRNA from 1 species
UAAAAAGAGCCUAGUGGGUAUCAUAUGAGAGAGUGAAUGGACUUGGUACAUAGGGUGAACCCUACCGUGCACGUAUCCUCAGUCGUACGAGACUGGAAAGUUCCAUACUGGACGGAAUUGAGAGUAAUUAAUUUUGUUCAUACCGGACGGGGUAUUGAGACAGUUUUUAAAUUAUGGAACCCAUUACUGGAUAGGGUAUGGGGACAGCC